CCUACGGGAGGCAGCAGUGAGGAAUAUUGGUCAAUGGCCGUAAGGCUGAACCAGCCAAGUCGCGUGAAGGAAGAAGGAUCUAUGGUUUGUAAACUGCUUUUAUAGGGGAAUAAAGGGAGCCACAUGUGGAGAUUUGCAUGUACCCUAUGAAUAAGCAUAGGCUAACUCCGUGCCAGCAGCCGCGGUAAUACGGAGGAUGCGAGCGUUAUCCGGAUUUAUUGGGUUUAAAGGGUGCGUAGGUGGUUUUUUAAGUCAGCGGUGAAAGUUUGGGGCUCAACCCUAAAAUUGCCGUUGAAACUGGCAGACUUGAUUGUGUUUGAGGUAGGCGGAAUGCGUGGUGUAGCGGU
rnacentral:rRNA from 1 species